rnacentral:rRNA from 1 species
UACGUAGGGGGCAAGCGUUGUCCGGAUUCAUUGGGCGUAAAGAGCGUGUAGGCGGCCAGGUAGGUCGGUUGUGAAAACUGGAGGCUCAACCUUCAGAGGUCGACCGAAACCAUCUGGCUAGAGUCCGGGAGAGGAGAGUGGAAUUCCUGGUGUAGCGGUGAAAUGCGCAGAUAUCAGGAAGAACGCCCCGUGGCGAAAGCGGCUCUCUGGAACGGUACUGACGCUGAGACGCGAAAGCGUGGGGAGCGAACAGG